rnacentral:rRNA from 1 species
UACGUAGGGGGCAAGCGUUAUCCGGAUUUACUGGGUGUAAAGGGAGCGUAGGCGGCUUAGUAAGUCAGAAGUGAAAGCCCGCAGCUCAACUGCGGGACUGCUUUUGAAACUACCAAGCUAGAGUGUCGGAGAGGUAAGUGGAAUUCCUAGUGUAGCGGUGAAAUGCGUAGAUAUUAGGAGGAACACCAGUGGCGAAGGCGGCUUACUGGACGAUGACUGACGCUGAGGCCCGAAAGCGUGGGGAGCAAACAGG